CCCCUACCUUCAUCCAGAAGCUUCCUGUCGAGGAUGGCCGGCUUCAAUCCCAGCCACUCGUCACCUUCCCUUGGAAGGGAGCGAGUGGCAGCUGCUGAGAGGGAAAUAACUACAGCAGCCUGGCAGACGUAAUUUCAAGCGAGAACCAUUCUUCCAAACAAGUGACGUAAAGGUAAACUGUGUGUCAGCUGUUACGCGCUUACCGACGUGUGUUUGUAUGUAUGCGCACACAGAGAGAUCCUUCAGGGUGGUGUGUCGAUGGGGAGGGGCUGGGCAGGGCGUUGGAACAAGUCUUUUCACUGAAUACCUUAUAUUGUUAGAUGUUUGAGCUGUGUGACUAGAGUAUUUAAAAAAUUAAAGAUAGUGAAUAAAACCAAAUGAAUGGCGUCA